GACGAACGCUGGCGGCGUGCUUAACACAUGCAAGUCGAACGGAAAGGCCCUGCUUUUGUGGGGUGCUCGAGUGGCGAACGGGUGAGUAACACGUGAGUAACCUGCCCUUGACUUUGGGAUAACUUCAGGAAACUGGGGCUAAUACCGGAUAGGAGCUCCUGCUGCAUGGUGGGGGUUGGAAAGUUUCGGCGGUUGGGGAUGGACUCGCGGCUUAUCAGCUUGUUGGUGGGGUAGUGGCUUACCAAGGCUUUGACGGGUAGCCGGCAUGAGAGGGUGACCGGCCACAUUGGGACUGAGCUACGGCCCAGACUGCUACGCGAGGCAGCAGUGGGGAAUAUUGCACAAUGGGCCGAAGCCUGAUGCAGCAGCGCCGCGUGCGGGAUGACGGCCUUCGGGCUGUAAACCGCUUUCGCCUGUGACGAAGCGUGAGUGACGGUAAUGGGUAAAGAAGCACCGGCUAACUACGUG
rnacentral:rRNA from 1 species